rnacentral:rRNA from 1 species
UAAGGCUGAGACACGACGUCGAGCAUCUACGGAUGUGAAGUCAUUGAUGCCAUGCUUCCAGGAAAAGCCUCUAAGCUUCAGAUUGUAAGGAAUCGUACCCCAAACCGACACAGGUGGUCGGGUAGAGAAUACCAAGGCGCUUGAGAGAACUCGGGUGAAGGAACUAGGCAAAAUGGUACCGUAACUUCGGGAGAAGGUACGCUCUCGACGGUGAAGUCCCUCGCGGAUGGAGCUAUUGAGAGUCGCAGAUACCAGGUGGCUGCAACUGUUUAUUAAAAACACAGCACUGUGCAAAAUCGUAAGAUGACGUAUACGGUGUGACGCCUGCCCGGUGCCGGAAGGUUAAUUGAUGGGGUUAGACUUCGGUCGAAGCUCUUGAUCGAAGCCCCGGUAAACGGCGGCCGUAACUAUAACGGUCCUAAGGUAGCGAAAUUCCUUGUCGGGUAAGUUCCGACCUGCACGAAUGGCGUAAUGAUGGCCACGCUGUCUCCACCCGAGACUCAGUGAAAUUGAAAUCGCUGUGAAGAUGCAGUGUACCCGCGGCUAGACGGAAAGACCCCGUGAACCUUUACUACAGCUUGGCACUGAACAUUGACCCUACAUGUGUAGGAUAGGUGGGAGGCUUUGAAGCACGUACGCCAGUAUGUGUGGAGCCGUCCUUGAAAUACCACCCUUGUAGUGUUGAUGUUCUAACGUCGACCCCUUAUCGGGGUUGCGGACAGUGCCUGGUGGGUAGUUUGACUGGGGCGGUCUCCUCCCAAAGAGUAACGGAGGAGCACGAAGGUGGGCUAAUCACGGUUGGACAUCGUGAGGUUAGUGCAAUGGCAUAAGCCCGCUUGACUGCGAGAAUGACAAUUCGAGCAGGUGCGAAAGCAGGUCAUAGUGAUCCGGUGGUUCUGAAUGGAAGGGCCAUCGCUCAACGGAUAAAAGGUACUCCGGGGAUAACAGGCUGAUACCGCCCAAGAGUUCAUAUCGACGGCGGUGUUUGGCACCUCGAUGUCGGCUCAUCACAUCCUGGGGCUGAAGUCGGUCCCAAGGGUAUGGCUGUUCGCCAUUUAAAGUGGUACGCGAGCUGGGUUUAGAACGUCGUGAGACAGUUCGGUCCCUAUCUGCCGUGGGCGUUGGAAGAUUGAAGGGGGCUGCUCCUAGUACGAGAGGACCGGAGUGGACGAACCUCUGGUGUUCGGGUUGUGUCGCCAGACGCAUUGCCCGGUAGCUAAGUUCGGAAUCGAUAACCGCUGAAAGCAUCUAAGCGGGAAGCGAGCCCUGAGAUGAGUCUUCCCUGAUACUUUAAGUAUCCUAAAGGGUUGUCGGAGACUACGACGUUGAUAGGUCAGGUGUGUAAGUGCUGUGAGGCAUUGAGCUAACUGAUACUAAUUGCCCGUGAGGCUUAACCA